UACAUAGGGGGCGAGCGUUAUCCGGAAUUAUUGGGCGUAAAGGGUACGUAGGCGGGCCUGCAAGUCUGAUUUGAAAGCACACGGCUUAACCGUGUAAGGCAAUUAGAAACUACGAGUCUAGAGAGUGGUAGAGGUAAAUGGAAUUCCAAGUGGAGCGGUGAAAUGCGUAGAGAUUUGGAGGAACACCAGUGGCGAAGGCGGUUUACUGGGCCACAUCUGACGCUGAUGUACGAAAGCGUGGGGAGCAAACAGGAUUAGAUACCCCCGUAGUCCCUGAG
rnacentral:rRNA from 1 species